GACGAACGCUGGCGGCGCGCCUAACACAUGCAAGUCGAACGGAGUUAAGAGGAGCUUGCUUUUCUUAACUUAGUGGCGAACGGGUGAGUAACGCGUGAGUAACCUGCCCUGGAGUGGGGGACAACAGUUGGAAACGACUGCUAAUACCGCAUAAGCCCACGAUCCGGCAUCGGAUUGAGGGAAAAGGAUUUAUUCGCUUCAGGAUGGACUCGCGUCCAAUUAGCUAGUUGGUGAGGUAACGGCCCACCAAGGCGACGAUUGGUAGCCGGACUGAGAGGUUGAACGGCCACAUUGGGACUGAGACACGGCCCAGACUCCUACGGGAGGCAGCAGUGGGGGAUAUUGCACAAUGGGGGAAACCCUGAUGCAGCGACGCCGCGUGGAGGAAGAAGGUUUUCGGAUUGUAAACUCCUGUCGUUAGGGAC
rnacentral:rRNA from 1 species